GAUGAACGCUGGCGGCGUGCUUAACACAUGCAAGUCGAACGAUGAAGCCCAGCUUGCUGGGUGGAUUAGUGGCGAACGGGUGAGUAACACGUGAGUAACCUGCCCUUUACUCUGGGAUAAGCCUGGGAGACUGGGUCUAAUACUGGAUAUGACUUCUCAUCGCAUGGUGGGGGGUGGAAAGAUUUAUUGGUCUUGGAUGGACUCGCGGCCUAUCAGCUUGUUGGUGGGGUAGUGGCUCACCAAGGCGACGACGGGUAGCCGGCCUGAGAGGGUGACCGGCCACACUGGGACUGAGACACGGCCCAGACUCCUACGGGAGGCAGCAGUGGGGAAUAUUGCACAAUGGGCGCAAGCCUGAUGCAGCGACGCCGCGUGAGGGAUGACGGCCUUCGGGUUGUAAACCUCUUUCAGUAGGGAAGAAGCGAGAGUGACGGUACCUGCAGAAGAAGCGCCGGCUAACUACGUG
rnacentral:rRNA from 1 species